rnacentral:rRNA from 1 species
AUGUCAACAUGAGCCAACCUUGGAUUACAAAAUAGAGCCUCCCCAUUAAUGGAACAACUAACCUUUUUCCAUGACCACACACUACUAAUUUUAGUAAUAAUUACAAUUAUAGUAGGUUACCUGAUAUCUAUACUAUUUUUUAAUAAUUAUACUAACCGAUUCUUACUCCACGGACAAACUAUUGAAAUAAUCUGAACAAUUCUGCCUGCUAUUAUUCUUCUAUUUAUCGCCUUCCCCUCCCUCCGACUAUUAUAUUUAUUAGAUGAAAUUAAUGACCCAGCAAUUACGUUAAAGUCUAUUGGGCAUCAAUGAUAUUGAAGCUAUGAAUAUUCAGAUUUUAUUGACUUAGAAUUUGACUCUUACAUAAUUCCAACCAAUGAACUUCCCAUUGAUGGAUUCCGUUUACUAGACGUAGAUAACCGAGUAAUUAUCCCAAUAAAUACACAAAUUCGUGUAUUAGUAACUGCAGCUGACGUAAUUCACUCCUGAACAGUCCCAGCCCUUGGAGUAAAAGUAGACGGAACCCCAGGACGCUUAAACCAAACUAACUUUACAGUUAGACGCCCAGGACUAUUUUUUGGGCAAUGUUCAGAAAUUUGCGGGGCCAACCACAGCUUCAUACCAAUUGUAAUUGAAAGUGUCUACCCGUCCCAUUUUAUUAAAUGAAUCUCU